rnacentral:rRNA from 1 species
CAGCAGCCGCGGUAAUACGAAGGGGGCUAGCGUUGUUCGGAACCACUGGGCGUAAAGCGCACGUAGGCGGACGCUUAAGUCAGGGGUGAAAUCCCGAGGCUCAACCUCGGAACUGCCUUUGAUACUGGGUGUCUUGAGUCCGGGAGAGGUGAGUGGAACUGCGAGUGUAGAGGUGAAAUUCGUAGAUAUUCGCAAGAACACCAGUGGCGAAGGCGGCUCACUGGUCCGGAACUGACGCUGAGGUGCGAAAGCGUGGGGAGCAAACAGGAUUAGAUACCCCGGUAGUCCCUGUCUCUUAUAC